rnacentral:lncRNA from 1 species
GGGACAUCUCCAUUAAAAAAACGGGGUUUACCGAGCUCUUUCCAGUUUGCAGGGAAAUCUAGCUCACAAACGCGGGGCAAGAACGGUGUAGAAAAAUGUAUUCCCACCUUGCUAUCAUGCUUGACGCUAUUGAUGGCCUUCCAGGGAUGGUUUGAGCACAAGUAAUAACGAUAGGUGAUGUUUCAACACCACCAGUAACCUUCUGUCGUGUGACCCACACGACCGUAGUGGGGGACUACAAACUUGCUUAGUCGUGUGAGACAAAGACAAAUGUCCCAAGCC